rnacentral:rRNA from 1 species
ACGGGAGGCAGCAGUGGGGAAUAUUGCACAAUGGGGGAAACCCUGAUGCAGCGACGCCGCGUGAGUGAUGAAGUAUUUCGGUAUGUAAAGCUCUAUCAGCAGGGAAGAUAAUGACGGUACCUGACUAAGAAGCACCGGCUAAAUACGUGCCAGCAGCCGCGGUAGUACGUAUGGUGCAAGCGUUAUCCGGAUUUACUGGGUGUAAAGGGUGCGUAGGUGGUAUGGCAAGUCAGAAGUGAAAACACGGGGCUCAACCCCGUGACUGCUUUUGAAACUGUAAAACUAGAGUGCAGGAGAGGAAGCGGAAUUCCUAGUGUAGCGGUGAAAUGCGUAGAUAUUAGGAGGAACACCAGUGGCGAAGGCGGCUUUCUGGACUGUAACUGACACUGAGGCACGAAAGCGUGGGGAGCAAACAGGAUUAGAUACCCUGGUA